rnacentral:rRNA from 1 species
UACGUAGGGUGCAAGCGUUGUCCGGAAUUAUUGGGCGUAAAGAGCUCGUAGGCGGCUUGUCGCGUCGGCUGUGAAAACCUGGGGCUCAACCCCGGGCCUGCAGUCGAUACGGGCAGACGUAGAGUGCGGUAGGGGAGACGUGGAAUUCCUGGUGUAGCGGUGGAAAUGCGCAGAUAUCAGGAGGAACACCGGUGGCGAAGGCGGGUCUCUGGGCCGUAACUGACGCUGAGGAGCGAAAGCGUGGGGAGCGAACAGG